rnacentral:rRNA from 1 species
CCUACGGGAGGCAGCAGUGGGGAAUAUUGCACAAUGGGGGAAACCCUGAUGCAGCGACGCCGCGUGAGUGAAGAAGUAAUUCGUUAUGUAAAGCUCUAUCAGCAGGGAAGAAAAUGACGGUACCUGAGUAAGAAGCCACGGCUAACUACGUGCCAGCAGCCGCGGUAAUACGUAGGGGGCAAGCGUUAUCCGGAUUUACUGGGUGUAAAGGGAGCGUAGACGGCAGUGCAAGUCUGGAGUGAAAGGCGGGGGCUCAACCCUCGGACUGCAGUGGAAACUGGACGGCUUGAGUGCAGGAGAGGUAAGUGGAAUGCGUAGUGUAGCGGUGAAAUGCGUAGAUAUUAGGAGGAACACCGGUGGCGAAGGCGGCUUACUGGACUGUAACUGACGUUGAGGCUCGAAAGCGUGGGGAGCAAACAGGAUUAGAUACCCGAGUAGUC